rnacentral:rRNA from 1 species
GUAAAAGAAUUUAUUAGAUAGUUUGGGAUACAUGUCGUUAGCAUACUUGUGAUACUUUCAUGACAUUAAUACCAAAUAAAUAGCUUUUUGCUAAAAAUAUUGUAUAGCUAUCUAGAAAGCUUUUAUGAGAUUAGGUAGUUGGUAAGAAAAAGCUUACCAAGCCUUAGAUCUCUAGUUGUUCUGAGAGGAAGAGCAACCACACUAGGACUGAGACACGGCCUAGACCUCUACGGAGGGCUGCAGUGAGGAAUUUUGGACAAUGAGCUAACGCUUGAUCCAGCAAUAUUACGUGAGUGACGA